GACGAACGCUGGCGGCGUGCUUAACACAUGCGAGUCGAACGGAAAGGCCCCUUUGGGGGUACUCGAGUGGCGCACGGGUGAGUAACACGUGAGUAACCUGCCCUUGACUUCGGGAUAACUUCAGGAAACUGGGGCUAAUACCGGAUAGGAAUCCUUGCUGCAUGGUGGGGGUUGGAAAGCUUCGGCGGUUUUGGAUGGACUCGCGGCUUACCAGCUUGUUGGUGGGGUAGUGGCUUACCAAGGCUUUGACGGGUAGCCGGCCUGAGAGGGCGACCGGCCACAUUGGGACUGAGAUACGGCCCAGACUCCUACGGGAGGCAGCAGUGGGGAAUAUUGCACAAUGGGCGGAAGCCUGAUGCAGCAACGCCGCGUGCGGGAUGACGGCCUUCGGGUUGUAAACCGCUUUCAGCAGGGGCGAAGCUUGUGGUGACGGUACCUGCAGAAGAAGCACCGGCUAACUACGUG
rnacentral:rRNA from 1 species